AUUUUAUUUUAAUGAGCUAUUUUUAUUUAGCGUUAUUUUUAAAAAUCUGUUUCCUGCGGAAAUUGCUUUCCAUCUGUUGCACUUCCUGCUCCUGAGUCCGUCUUUCCGUCACAAUGGUUUUAUAUUGCCGAGGAAUAAAUAAGUGCUGGGAAAAUCCACCAUCUGAGCCGACUUCUUCCAUGCCCGUUCCACAUCAGUUACAUCUGCUCUGAACCUCUUUCAUGUGAGGGUGAAACUCUUUUAUUUUGCAAACCUCUGAAACCCAACCCAAUGUUUCUUAAAGCUGCUCUGAACCUCUCAUGCCCAAAGUUACAGUGUGUUGAUAGUUGUUAUUGGACAGUGUUGAGCACGCUGUGUUCUUGAAAUAAAGCUUUGUUUUUUACAA